GAUGAACGCUAGCGGCAGGCUUAAUACAUGCAAGUCGUGGGGCAGCAGGUCCCGAGCAAUCGGGAUGCUGGCGACCGGCAAACGGGUGCGUAACACGUACGCAACCUUCCCGUUACUGUGGCAUAGCCCAGGGAAACUUGGAUUAAUACCACAUAUUAUAUUGAGGGGGCAUCCUCUUGAUAUCAAAGCUUCGGCGGUAACGGAUGGGCGUGCGGUUGAUUAGGUAGUUGGCGGGGUAACGGCCCACCAAGCCUACGAUCAAUAGCUGAUGUGAGAGCAUGAUCAGCCACACGGGCAAUGGGACACGGGCCCGACUCCUACGGGAGGCAGCAGUAAGGAAUAUUGGGCAAUGGACGCAAGUCUGACCCAGCCAUGCCGCGUGAAGGAUUAAGGUCCUCUGGAUUGUAAACUUCUUUUCUCUGGGGCGAAAACCAGCUAUUCUUAGCUGCUUGAUAGUACCAGAGGAAUAAGCACCGGCUAACUCCGUGCCAGCAGCCGCCGUAACAC
rnacentral:rRNA from 1 species